CGGGCGGACCCCGGAGAGGGGGAGCCGCGGGGACGCAGCGACAGGCUCGGGGUGCUGGCAGCGGCAGCCCACGCCUCCCAGGGGUUGCAGGCCUGGGCGCCGGGGUUGGACCAGUCUCCCGGGCAUGGCACGCCCUGGUUUGGUGUGUACCCAUGGUUUGUGGCGGGGCAAGACGUUAAGUUGGGUGACACCGAGGUGAGCCACGGUCCUUGGCACCAGAUGAGGAACCACUGUCUCAAUAAGGUCUCAGUGCUGUGUGUGUAAUGGUUACCGUGAGAGCUUCCCUGCAAUCCGAAUUUGUGUGUCUCAUUCUCAGUGACACCAGUGAUGCUGUUAAACAAGGACAGUCCGGUUCAUGGAUUGUGACAACGCACGCUGACAUCAAGCAGACCCUGCCGUCAGGUACAGAGGGCACCACAGUGACCAGGAACUGCUGUCCUUUCAUACCAGGUUUUAGGAGACUUUACCAGAAGGAAUGGAAAAUGCUGGUGGGCAGUAAGAUUGAAACAGCAUCUGAGGACUGGUUCUGCACAAAACCUUAAAUUCUUCAAGGACUUUGACAUUUGUUUAUUCUUGUAACAAAUUAAAACCUAUCCUGUGUGUUGGUUAGAGAUCUUCAAACUGUAAAUACCUUGAGGCAGGAGUGAGGUUUUUAUCUUCUAAAGGACAGGCCCCUACUCUCCUACGUAAUGAGUUUCUAAAAAUGGAUGUGAGCACCAAUCAAUAUUUCUCUGGUUGUUAAAGUCAAGAAUAAAAUGGUAUUUUUAAGCUUGCAACUGUGUAGGAUGAAUUCUGUACACUUUUAUUUCCCUCUGUUCUCCUUUCCUAUUUGAAAGUUUAUUAGUUUGUGGACUUGGGAUCAGAUUAUUCAUGCAUUAUUUUUUGAUGUUGUAUGUCUUUUGGUUCUAGGGUAUUUUUGACACAUAUUCUGUCUUGUAACCAUAGUUAAACAAUUGUUUUAGACCAACUCUCUGUGUGUAAUUGGCUUCAACACUCACUGCUAGUCCUUUGAUGCUCUGUUUUUUUCCAUUCUUGAGUAAUUUUAAGUCAUCACUUGGGCAGUUGAAAUAUAUUUUAAAGUGAUUUAAAGAAUAUGUGAGUGGCAGACAUUCUGAACUCUUUUGGUUGUCUGUCCUCAAAAACUAAAACUUAUUUGUGAGUAAAAUU
rnacentral:lncRNA from 1 species